rnacentral:rRNA from 1 species
AACGGCCAUACCAUGCUGAACAUACCGGUUCUCGUUAGAUCACCGAAGUCAAGCAUCAUUGGGCGCGGUCAGUACUUGGGUGGGUGACCACCUGGGAACAUCGCGUGCCGUU